rnacentral:rRNA from 1 species
AACGAACGCUGGCGGCAUGCCUAACACAUGCAAGUCGAACGAGAUCUUCGGGUCUAGUGGCGCACGGGUGCGUAACGCGUGGGAAUCUGCCCUUUGGUUCGGAAUAACAGUUGGAAACGACUGCUAAUACCGGAUGACGAAAGUCCAAAGAUUUAUCGCCAGAGGAUGAGCCCGCGUAGGAUUAGCUAGUUGGUGUGGUAAAGGCGCACCAAGGCGACGAUCCUUAGCUGGUCUGAGAGGAUGAUCAGCCACACUGGGACUGAGUCACGGCCCAGACUCCUACGGGAGGCAGCAGUGGGGAAUAUUGGACAAUGGGCGAAAGCCUGAUCCAGCAAUGCCGCGUGAGUGAUGAAGGCCUUAGGGUUGUAAGCUCUUUUACCCGGGAUGAUAAUGACAGUACCGGGAGAAUAAGCUCCGGCUAACUCCGUGCCAGCCGCCGCAGUAA